UUUUUAUCUUUUUUCUUUAAAAAUUUAUUUUCUUCUACGUCGUGCCAAUGUUGAAUUAUAAUGUUUCGACCAACCAUGAAUAUCCAUAUUUUUGUAGAGCUUAUAACAAUAUGCAACUAAAUAAAUUCGAUCAAUUUAGAGUAUAGAAAGUAUCUGAAACGUUUUAAUUCAUUCUUCAUAGAAAACAUGAUGUGCAGUUCAAUUGAAUGAAGUAGGCAGAUAUUUAAUCACUAAUGAACAUUCAAAUGCAACAAAGUUUAUAUUCGAAUAACUUACGUGGGAA
rnacentral:lncRNA from 1 species